GGUUGCCUUACGUCCCAGCUCACACACAAUCCAGCAGCAGAGUCCUAUCCAGUGACCACCAGGGCACAAGCAUGCAGAGGGGAACCCGCGCACUCCGAGGAAUCUCAGGUAGGACCCUGGGUCCCUUCAACCCCCACUGAUCCCAUCCCAUUCUGGGACACCCCCUUAGUUUUUGGACAGGAACAGAAGGCCAAUCCCACGUUAGAAGGAGGCAGAUAAACC